AGCAAUCCGAAGAUAAUGGUUCCGUCGCAGUGGCUAACGCGUUUGCAUCUGGCAGAAGAAAAAGUGCUAAAUUGAGGAGCCGUAGAGUUCGGCCUCUCUUUACAUUGGACCGCUCUGGACACCUUGUACUAGCUCAAGAACAAAACUAAACUACACCUCGUUCUAGCCUAAGAACAA